rnacentral:rRNA from 1 species
GACGAACGCUGGCGGCGUGCCUAAUACAUGCAAGUUGAGCGCUGAAGGUUGGUACUUGUACCAACUGGAUGAGCAGCGAACGGGUGAGUAACGCGUGGGGAAUCUGCCUUUGAGCGGGGGACAACAUUUGGAAACGAAUGCUAAUACCGCAUAAAAACUUUAAACACAAGUUUUAAGUUUGAAAGAUGCAAUUGCAUCACUCAAAGAUGAUCCCGCGUUGUAUUAGCUAGUUGGUGAGGUAAAGGCUCACCAAGGCGAUGAUACAUAGCCGACCUGAGAGGGUGAUCGGCCAAAUUGGGACUGGGACACGGCCCAAACUCCUACGGGAGGCAGCAGUAGGGAAUCUUCGGCAAUGGACGAAAGUCUGACCGAGCAACGCCGCGUGAGUGAAGAAGGUUUUCGGAUCGUAAAACUCUGUUGGUAGAGAAGAACGUUGGUGAGAGUGGAAAGCUCAUCAAGUGACGGUAACUACCCAGAAAGGGACGGCUAACUACGUG